GGAAUAUUGGACAAUGGGCGCAAGCCUGAUCCAGCCAUGCCGCGUGUGUGAAGAAGGCCUUCGGGUUGUAAAGCACUUUUGUACGGGAAGAAAAGCACUCGGUUAAUACCCCGGUGUCAUGACGGUACCGUAAUAAUAAGCACCGGCUAACUUCGUGCCAGCAGCCGCGGUAAUACGAAGGGUGCAAGCGUUACUCGGAAUUACUGGGCGUAAAGCGUGCGUAGGCGGUGUGUUAAGUCUGUCGUGAAAGCCCCGGGCUCAACCUGGGAAUGGCGGUGGAUACUGGCAGGCUAGAGUACGGUAGAGGAUGGUGGAAUUCCCGGUGUAGCAGUGAAAUGCGUAGAGAUCGGGAGGAACAUCUAUGGCGAAGGCAGCCAUCUGGACCAGUACUGACGCUGAGGCACGAAAGCGUGGGGAGCAAAC
rnacentral:rRNA from 1 species